AUGGUUCUGCCAGUGGCUCAGAAAAAAGCUGAAAGCCCAGAACCUGAACCCAGCCCACUUACACCUGUGUCCAUUCCACCAGCCAAAGUGUCCACAACCAAGAGUUUUGUAUUUACUCCUCAAAAAACUAGCCAUAAUGGGAAAGAGAAGGCAGACACAGUAAAAGAGGUUGACAUUGCCGAAAAUUCUCUGCAAGAUAGCAGUCAUCCACUGGUUCUGUCAGUGGCUCCAAUAAAAGCUGAUACCCCAGAGCCUGAACCCACCCCCUAUACGCCUCAGAAUUCCACACCAAAGAAUUUUGUGUUUACCACUCAAACAACUAGCCAAGAUAAGAAUGGGAAGGCAGACACAGUUAAAGAGGUCGACACUGCUGAAAAGUCUCUGAAAGAUAGCAAUCUUCUACCGGUUCUGCCAGUGGCUCCAAUAAAAGCUGAUACCCCAAAGCCUGAACCCAGCCCCUAUACACCUCAGAAUUCCACACCCAAGAAUUUUGUGUUUACCACUCAAACAACUAGCAAAGAUGAGAAUGAGGUGGCAGAUACAGUGGAAAGACCAACAGCAGCUAGUCAUACCCCUGCUCCAAGUCACCCAGCUCCUGCUGGGCCGUCUGUAACAGCUAAUCCCCCUACUCAAAGUGUUCCUGUUGUCCCUAAGGUUGCCGUACCUUCUCAGACUUCAACUGGAACACCUCCUGUCUCCAACAUUCCUGCCCCAAGUAUUCCAGCUCCAAUCCAUUCGACCUCUGCAAGCCCUGAGCCAAAAAUUCCUGAGCCAAAGAUUCCUGAACCAGCCAUAGCAACACCAAUCAUUCCCUCUCAAGCUGUUCCUAAAUCAAAGCCAGAAAGCUCUAUUUCAACUCUUCCUGACACUGAACCUCUUAAACCAAAUAUACAUAUGCUCAGUUUAUCAGAAGUAUUUCCUCCCCCUGAAGGAAGUCCACCUCCAGAAUUCACUGAUAUUCCACCCCCUGUUUUUGAUGAAGACUUUCCAGAUGGAGACUUUUCUGAGCAAGCUAUACCCACUCCACCAAUAGGUAUAUAUUUUGCCCCAGUUCCCACGAGUCCAGUUAUCUCCAGGUCCCCUUCCCCAUCCACCCCUCCAGCAGUAUCUCCAGGGCCCUUCGUGAAUCCUUUAGAAUAUACACCUGGUCCAGUCCCAAGCCCUCCUCCAGAAGUUCAUACUCAUGCUGCACCUAUAGAGGUGUUACUGGAGAAUGCAAAACCUCUGACUGAAAAGGCAGCUAUUAACCCAGAGAGGUCUAAGGAGGACCCGUCCUCAACCAAGCCACUUUCACCCUUCUCAGCCUUGGCGAGAGCAGAGGAGAUGGCCUCUGUAAAAAGGUCACCACCUGAUAGCCGUUUAUUUAACCUUCUGGAAAGGGCCAAGAGAACGUCCACAGUGAGUCCACUGGCUACCACACCUGAAAAUACAUCUUUACCUGAAAAUACAACCCUAGUUGAGAAAGCUACAUCCAAGAUACCUCUGCCUGAAACUCUCACACCUCUGCCUGAGACUGCCACAGCUGAGGUGACCCAACCUGAUCUAGCUCCAACAGAAAAAGCCUCACCACAGCUUGCCACAACUUUAGAAACAUUGCCUGAGGAAGCCCCACCUGUACCAGAAGUGUCUGAUAUCCCUAAACUCCCUCCAGUUGACUAUGUUGAUCAUACUCUGUUGCCACCUAAAACCCACCUACCUGAAACUGCCGAGGUUAAUGGUUUUGAUCACAGGGUGGUUACAGUGGUAAAACCAAUGAAUCCUCCUCCCCCACCGCCCAGAAGGGCUCUGCCAGCCACUCUCAUUGUGGAUCCCCCACUUGAGAAACCAACGCAGUCUCCUGCCAGAGACUUCCAGAUUCCCACAACACCAUCUGAACCUCUAGAAACACAUGAAGAGUCACUAUACGACAACUCAUUUGAGAGUUAUGAAGAUGCUGAGGAACCUGAGGCUCCAGCACCUUCAUCCUUUAGGCCUCCAUCAGUACCAUCAUCAGCUUCUAGUACCAAAAGGCCGGUUUCAGAUCAUGAGGAAGUCUUCCUGAAACAGUUGAGCCUAAAACAACAGUCGAAAGAGGAUGUGUUUCCGAAUGUGGAUGAUAGAGAUGUGGAUUAUGGGUCUAUGAACUCUGGCUCUCCAUAUCCAGAAACUCAAGCUGUAGUGCAUCAGGACUCAGUGCGAAGCUCACCUGCCUUGACUCCAUCAGGGACCCUUGAAAGAGGUGACAGUGUCUUUGAAGAUCAAUCAGACAGUAAAAAAGGCAAAACGGCAAAGACUAAGAAACAGAAAGGGCCUCCAAAGAAUCCGUAUGCUGAUACACCAGCAGUGGUGGAGGAGGCUCCCAAGAAAAGCUUGUUCUCCAGGUUUGUAGCAGCAUUUUUUUAA
ensembl:lncRNA